AUGGACCCAGGCCUGGAAGCACAAAUGUGCAUGCACCGCGUCCCCCAAGAGCGGCGCUGCCGGCCACCGGGCAGCUGGACGCCGCUUAGGGAGGUCAGGUACGGUGACGGCCGCUCUGUCCGUCCCCGCUCAGCUGUCAGCAACCUGAACCCUCCCUGCUGGCCGGGAGCCUCGGGGCCUAAAUUAGGGUCUGAGGGAGAGGCUCUGGCGUCACAGGGCACAUCCACCGCCACUGCAGCCAAAAUGUCCGGUCCCGGAGCCGGAGGGGCCCGUCUGUCUAGAGGGUGGCUGGCGACAAGCAUCUACGGGAAGCUCGAGGGUGCCCACCCUGUGGACGCCCGGCCGGGGAGGGUCCAGCCCAGCCCCCUCCCCAGCCUAAGCAGACCCCCUGCCCCUGCCUUCCGGCCCAGCGGCUGCGUCCCAGGCCGAGGGAUCGGGUUCCCCCCACCUCACGGGGCUGCGUCUUAUCUCUGGGAAAGAGAUUACGGGUUUCUGAUGUUAAAUUUUCAUGCUGAAGUUUUCAGCAUGGACUUUGGAAAGUGCUUUGUUCCAAACAACACCUGGAGAGAGAAGGAGGAUGUCAGGUCUGCUCACACAGGCUGUGACCCUGGGGGUGGGAGGGAGCGUUCUGUCCCGGGCCCCCCGCCACCCCCCUGCCCACCGCCCAAGGCCCAGGCCAGCGCCUCCCCCUCCCCAAACGCAGUUACGGAUUCCGGCCACGCGAGCCUCUUCCUGGGCCCGGCUGCGGCCAGGCCCCCUCCAGCGGGCCGGGUCUGCACGGCCCCCGGACCUCGUGGCGGGUGUGGAGCGUGGCGUGAGGUGGUCACUGCGCUUUGUGCUCUGUCACAUGUUGGUCUUUGUCUCGUGCGCCGGCCCCAGGCCACCCUCUCACAGCUGCGGGAGCGGAUGGCCAGCUGUCCCACGGCCGCCCCCGGGAGAGGGCAGCCAAGGGGGCCGGGCUGGGACCCCCACCCUGCUCUGUGUCCGAUGGUCCUGUGGACCCGGCUGCAUUCUUGUCUGCGGGAGCAGGAAUCGAAGGGGCCCGUCACGUGUGUCUUUGGGUGA
rnacentral:lncRNA from 1 species